rnacentral:rRNA from 1 species
UGGGGAAUUUUGGACAAUGGGGGAAACCCUGAUCCAGCCAUCCCGCGUGUGCGAUGAAGGCCUUCGGGUUGUAAAGCACUUUUGGCAGGAAAGAAACGUCAUGGGUUAAUACCCCGUGAAACUGACGGUACCUGCAGAAUAAGCACCGGCUAACUACGUGCCAGCAGCCGCGGUAAUACGUAGGGUGCAAGCGUUAAUCGGAAUUACUGGGCGUAAAGCGUGCGCAGGCGGUUCGGAAAGAAAGAUGUGAAAUCCCAGAGCUCAACUUUGGAACUGCAUUUUUAACUACCGGGCUAGAGUGUGUCAGAGGGGGGUGGAAUUACGCGUGUAGCAGUGAAAUGCGUAGAUAUGCGGAGGAACACCGAUGGCGAAGGCAGCCUCCUGGGAUAACACUGACGCUCAUGCACGAAAGCGUGGGGAGCAAACAGG